rnacentral:rRNA from 1 species
ACGUUAGCGGCGGACGGGUGAGUAACACGUGGGUAACCUACCUAUAAGACUGGGAUAACUUCGGGAAACCGGAGCUAAUACCGGAUAAUGUUUCGAACCGCAUGGUUCGAUAGUGAAAGAUGGUUUUGCUAUCACUUAUAGAUGGACCCGCGCCGUAUUAGCUAGUUGGUAAGGUAACGGCUUACCAAGGCGACGAUACGUAGCCGACCUGAGAGGGUGAUCGGCCACACUGGAACUGAGACACGGUCCAGACUCCUACGGGAGGCAGCAGCA